UACGUAGGGGGCGAGCGUUGUCCGGAAUCAUUGGGCGUAAAGCGCGUGUAGGCGGCCCGGUAAGUCCGCUGUGAAAGUCCAGGGCUCAACCCUGGGAUGCCGGUGGAUACUGUCGGGCUCGAGUCCGGAAGAGGCGAGUGGAAUUCCUGGUGUAGCGGUGAAAUGCGCAGAUAUCAGGAGGAACACCAAUGGCGAAGGCAGCUCGCUGGGCCGUAACUGACGCUGAGGAGCGAAAGCGUGGGGAGCGAACAGG
rnacentral:rRNA from 1 species